rnacentral:tRNA from 1 species
GGGCCCGUAGCUCAGUGGUCAGAGCAGGCGACUCAUAAUCGCUCGGUCCCGGGUUCGAUCCCCGGCGGGCCCACCA